GGGCUCGCAGGCGGUUUCUUAAGUCUGAUGUGAAAGCCCCCGGCUCAACCGGGGAGGGUCAUUGGAAACUGGGGAACUUGAGUGCAGAAGAGGAGAGUGGAAUUCCACGUGUAGCGGUGAAAUGCGUAGAGAUGUGGAGGAACACCAGUGGCGAAGGCGACUCUCUGGUCUGUAACUGACGCUGAGGAGCGAAAGCGUGGGGAGCGAACAGGAUUAGAUACCCUGGUAGUCCACGCCGUAAACGAUGAGUGCUAAGUGUUAGGGGGUUUCCGCCCCUUAGUGCUGCAGCUAACGCAUUAAGCACUCCGCCUGGGGAGUACGGUCGCAAGACUGAAACUCAAAGGAAUUGACGGGGGCCCGCACAAGCGGUGGAGCAUGUGGUUUAAUUCGAAGCAACGCGAAGAACCUUACCAGGUCUUGACAUCCUGUGACAAUCCUAGAGAUAGGACGUCCCCUUCGGGGGCAGAGUGACAGGUGGUGCAUGGUUGUCGUCAGCUCGUGUCGUGAGAUGUUGGGUUAAGUCCCGCAACGAGCGCAACCCUUGAUCUUAGUUGCCAGCAUUCAGUUGGGCACUCUAAGGUGACUGCCGGUGACAAACCGGAGGAAGGUGGGGAUGACGUCAAAUCAUCAUGCCCCUUAUGACCUGGGCUACACACGUGCUACAAUGGACAGAACAAAGGGCAGCGAAACCGCGAGGUUAAGCCAAUCCCACAAAUCUGUUCUCAGUUCGGAUCGCAGUCUGCAACUCGACUGCGUGAAGCUGGAAUCGC
rnacentral:rRNA from 1 species